UACGUAGGGUCCGAGCGUUGUCCGGAAUUAUUGGGCGUAAAGAGCUCGUAGGCGGUCUGUCGCGUCGGCUGUGAAAACCCGGGGCUCAACUCCGGGCCUGCAGUCGAUACGGGCAGACUAGAGUUCGGUAGGGGAGACUGGAAUUCCUGGUGUAGCGGUGAAAUGCGCAGAUAUCAGGAGGAACACCGGUGGCGAAGGCGGGUCUCUGGGCCGAAACUGACGCUGAGGAGCGAAAGCGUGGGGAGCAAACAGG
rnacentral:rRNA from 1 species